CUAAGGAAUUACACAUUGUUCAAAGUAAUUUUAAAAAUCUAUACACUUAGUUUAAACAACAUGGACUUUAAAUGGUUUAUAAGAACUCAUCGUUUCACAUUAAGGAACAUACUGAAGUAUUUAGGGAGAUUUAACUUUAGCAAACAAAUAUUUUUUCCCCACAGUAAGUAAAGUUAGCCAAAAAAAGCACAAAACUUUGUAAAUUAAAAAUCAGUAUGUGCAUAUUUCACAAACUGACUAAACUUAAAAUGUUCUACAGUAAUACCAUUUCAAGAUGAAAUAACCAGAAACAAAACGCUUUUCCCCUUAAAUCGCUCAACAAUAGUUUUACACCAUGUCGACAUGGAACACUUGCAAUAUACACCAAUCAAUCAAUGAUUUCUUUCAGUUAGGAAUAUUUAAAUGGUUAAUUUGGUUCACGUAAAUUAAUCGUUUAAUAUUGCAGACAAAUGAAAUAUAUUGAUUGAUUUGUGAUAGAAAUUACAAGUAAGCAUAGCAACACCAAAAAGCUAGUUUCCAAAACAAAUAGUUUUUACAGCCGUGCAUGGCAGGCAGGCAGGCAGCGCAAAGGCAGGCAGGAGCGCCUGGCAGGUAAACAGCACACAGGCAGGCAAUGUGCUGCAGAGCAUGUUAAAAAAAAAUUAAAAAGAAGAGGAGAAAAAAGGAGGAGACACAAGAAAGGAGAGAACCAAUGAAGGCGUCCUCUCAUGAUGUUAAAGGUGAUUUUGGUACGUAUAAUGGUAAGACGAUAAGAAGGGCAUAGAAUUGGCCUAGAACUUAAGUAUAUAGUCUAUGACAGUUUGACUUGGCUGUCAUAGUCCAGUUGAAAGCUAGAAGUGAGGAAGACGCUCGAGAUGAUGACACAAGGUCUAAGAGGUACCAGUCAGUGAGGUUUACCAGAAGUACACGGAGUGCCAACAGGUUAAGUAUCAUGAGCUCACCAUGUGUAAGUUUUGGUGAGGUCGGGGUAGGUAUACACACCAAUAACCAAAGUUUCCCUUUGCAGCCAAUAACCAAAGUUUCCCUUUGCAGCCAAUAACCAAAGUUUCCCUUUACAGCCAAUAACCAAAGUUUCCCUUCGCAGCCAAUAACCAAAGUUUCCCUUUACAGCCAUUAACCAAAAUUUCCCUUUACAGCCAUUAACCAAAGUUUCCCUUUACAGCCAUUAACCAAAGUUUCCCUUUACAGCCAUUAACCAAAGUUUCCCUUUACAGCCAUUAACCAAAGUUUCCCUUUACAGCCAUUAACCAAAGUUUCCCUUUACAGCCAUUAACCAAAGUUUCCCUUCACAGCCAUUAACCAAAGUUUCCCUUUACAGCCAAUAACCAAAGUUUCCCUUUAAUAAUACUAAUAAUAUCGAAGUCUUAUAUAGCGCACGUAUCUACCAAACAAGGUACUCAAGGCGCUGAGUGUAUACAAACUUUCAGAAAGAUAGGUUAUUGCAGCCAUUAACCAAAGUUUCCAUUCCCAGUGAAUAACCAAAGUUUCCCUUUACAGCCAAUAACCAAAGUUUCCCUUUACAGCCAUUAACCAAAGUUUCCAUUCCCAGUGAAUAACCAAACUUUCCCUUUACAGCCAAUAACCCAAGUUUCCCUUUACAGCCAAUAACCAAAGUUUCCGUUCACAGCCAAUAACCAAAGUUUCCGUUCACAGCCAUUAACCAAAGUUUCCCUUCACAGCCAAUAACCAAAGUUUCGAUUCACAGCCAGUAACCAAAGUUUCCCUUCACAGUCAUUAACCAAAGUUUCCCUUCACAGCCAUUAACCAAACUUUCCCUUUGCAGCCAAUAACCAAUUUUCUCGUCCAACUAUCACCAUAUUUUUUCUUUACUGCCAAUAAAACCACAAUUUGUUUGUUUUCUUGCAGAUCACACAUCUUCAGGCCUAGCAAGCAUUUUGGUAGUGUAUAAAUUUAUAAACAAUUUAACUUUUGACUGGAAGUGAAAUACCCCAGGAGAGCUUUUACACACUUUCCCUCACCCAAGCUCCUUGGAUGUUAUUACCUGUCCAAAUAAUUGAAAGAAGUCAUGCAAAAAUCUCCCACACAUUUGGCUCAAAAUUUGCAAAAGGACUAACAAAAGUGAUUUCAAUAACUUCCUAAAGGUCUUGGUGAUUAGAAACAUUUUGAUGGCUUUCAAACUUCAAAAGUUUUGAAAUUAUUCUACCAAUUCUCUCUCCCACCUCAAGUUGUUGGGAUUUUAAAUGAUACAAACAGUUGGAAAUAAUAGUCAAAAUUAUUUAUCUCGAUUAUCUUUUAACAACAGUAGAUCGGAGUUCAAUUUUGUUGGUAAACAUGGUUUACAUCUAUCAAUUUGUUAACUUGUCUUCAGUACUUCUUCAUUUGCAGAUACAGAGAUGAUGCUACUCACUUAUGCAGUCUGGCAGUUUGAACUUCAGGAAUGGCAAGGAGUUUGGUAAUGUAUCAUUCUAUAAUCUAAAGAAGUAGUCCUGGCAAUUUUCUAUACCUUCCGGCCAAGUUAAAAAGCAGGACAGCCUGAGAAGUCUCCCGAACAUCUGAUUAAUCUACUCCGCAGUAUUAGAAUAAAGAAAGAAAGUUCUCUAAGAACACAUUGGACAUAAAAUCUUCAAAGGACUAAACUGAUAGCACCUUCCUUGUGUUUAGAAAAGUUUAGAUUAAAUUUUAUUGGUUGCUUGGGUUCAAACUUUUCAAAGAAUUAGUGUUGUUCUACAAAACUCUUUUCUCUCUCUCUGUCUCUCUCCGUCAUCUCUCCGUCAUCUCAAGUUUUUAGAAUAUUAAAGGAUACAAACAAUUUCAAACAGUGGUCACAGUUGUUAACUGCAUAUGUAUUAUUUCCUAUUGUCUUCAGAUACAUUCUUCAUUUGCACGGAUACCAUUUGUUGAUGCAGUCUUGCAGUUUGAACUUCAGGCAUGGCAAGAAAUUUGAUGCCAGAAGUGAUGAACUACCAUUCGUUGAUGUAGUUUGGCAGUUUGAACUCAAGGCGUGGUAAUGAAUUUGGUAAUGUAUCAAUUUAUGUUACAAGGUACAGUUCGACUUGAAGUGAAUUACCACAAAAGAGCUUUUACAAAUUGUCUCCCACCCCAAGCUGCUUGGGCAUUUGCACAACUGAUUGGAAGGAAAAAUUUACAAAUUAAAUCUACUACACAUGAUGGACUUGUCAUCUUCAAAAGACAACUUCACUGAUUUAACUUUUUAUCAAUGUUUUGUUGUAAGACAAAUUUGGAUUGAAUUUGAGAAAGUUUCUUUCACUAACUGGAAGAUAUUCUACUGAGUAUAAUAAUCAUCUCAAGUAGUUUUGAUGUAAAUAGAUACAAACAACUGGAAACAAUAUUUGUCAAAGAUUUAUCUCACAGCCAUUGGUCAGAAAGAUUACACUUUAUGAACAUAUCCAAGUUCAAUUUUUGUUUAUUAAAAUGGUUUAUAACUAUCAACUUGUUACUUGUCUUCAGAACUUCUUUAUUUGCACAGAUACCAGAAGGGUGAACUGCUACUCACUGAUGCAGUCUGGCAGUUUGAACUUCAGGAAUGGCAAGGAAUUUGGUAAUGUAUCAGUUUAUGUUACAAAGUAAAGUUUGACAUGAAGUCAAUUACCAAAAGAGAGUUUUUACAAAAUGUCUCUCUUUCCAAGUUGUGGAAGCAGUGAUCAAAUAAAUUUGAUCUCCUACUUAUUGGACUUGAAAUCUUCAACUUAGAUGAGUAAUUAAUUACUCCGCGAUGAUGCAGGCUGGUAGUUAAAUCUUAGGCACAGCAAGGAACUUAGUAGUGGAUCGAUUAAAGUUAGAAGGCAAAGUUUGACAAGAAAUACCGCAACACAAGACAGCUUUCCUGAACUGUGUGUCAGGUUCGUCCCUGUAAGGGGGAAAACACCACCGAGCCAGUUCCAAACCUGCCACAUUGGCUCAAGACAAUGUUAAGAAACGCGGUCUUCUUUAGAGAUGCAGUAGAAUCAUGUCAGACCAGAGCUGAGUGACCAGAGUUAUAAAGUGGUCGUGCUCUUAAUUACUUUGCACCCCUCAUUGACCCUACGCAUCAUUGGUUAUCAAAGAAAGGGGAAACGAAGAACGUGCGUCUUCUGUGCACCAACAAAGAUUUAUUUUGAAACACCUGGCCACAUACUUGGGCCAUAUUUAUUCUUAGCAAGGAAUUCACUGCAAGCCAAAGCUGCUUGGAUAUUUUAUUGGUACAAACGAUGGAAAUAAUCUUUAUAAAAAAAAGGGAAAUCUUCGUCUAAUUGGACUGAAAUUCUUCAAAGGAGCAACUAAACUGAUGAGAUGCUUGAGAUGCUUGCUAGAAAAGUGUGUAUGGAAUAUUAUUAGUUCUGAAUUGCUUCCCAAAAUCUGAACAUUUUUCGACAAAUGUUGUUAAACAAUUUUACUUUGUUUCAUUUCCCUGCAGUUUCCUGGUGCAUGAUGGCGAUCUAAGUGGCGAACCCGACUGUGAAGUGCAUCUAUGUUUGUGUUCAUAGUACAAACGCCUACAGCGAGGGAGCCUUAGUUACUCCACUGUCUACACCCUGUCUCUUAUACAGAUUGGACAAGAGUCUUGGAAGAUAACAUCAGCCUGAGAUGACAACAGAGAUGCAGGGAAGGCUCUGGCUGGAUUGAGAAUCAUGCAACCAAGAGCUGAAGACUGACUGGAGCAAGUCUAAUCAAGAUAACGAUCAGCAUCAUCCGGAUCACAAGGGCCACACUAUGCGCCUCUCUUGACAUCUAUGCAUGAGGUACAUCACAAUGCUAACCCAAAACGAGGCUAUGGGCGCAGCCACUCCAAGUGGUGGCGGAGGUGCGUCUAUAGCCUCAUUUUUUAGUCGAAUUAUGACGUCAUGCAUAGAUAUUAAGAGAGGCGUAUAACCGGAAGUGACAUCCAGGGCCCAAUUUCAUAAAGCCAGAAAGCAGAAAAAGUUGCUACGCACAGAAUAUUAAUGCUCAGCAGAAACAGGCUACCAGCCAAAAGUUUGCACUGCUGUGGCUGGUGCCCCAUUCACUUCUUGCUUGUCAAACAAAUUUGUCAAGCAGUAACUUCUACUUAACAGCUUUAUGAAAUUGGGCCCUGAGACUUUGGCUGUAUCCGAAUUUGCAGCUAUGAUUCCGGCUGCGACUGUAAUAAACAGUGUUUUUCAAUGCAUGAUGAUGCGUAAAGCUAGCCGUAGCCAGAGCUGUAGACACCAAUUCGGACACAGCCUUGUGAACCUAUAGCCAUUUAUCAAGUUGUGGCCAUCUUGUUCCCCUGAUCAAUUCACAUAACUAGCCAAACGGAGGCUUGGAUGAAAUAAACGUGCCCCUCUAUACGCAAUGAGAAUUAGACCUUUGACAUUCAGCGUGCACAGUGCAAACAGGGAACUAGAUGGUCAAAACAUAACAAAAGCCCAUUAUGUUUUAAGAUAAGGUUAUUAAAAUGUACUCUGUUUAAGAAUUAUGUAAGUAUGUAUCUAGUGCGAACUUUAAAAAACUCUACUUCAGUUUGUAAUCUGAUUAUAGUAUUGGUGCAAGAGGCUGGUUCAGGGCUACUAGCGAAUGCUUUAAAAUGGUGAAGUUGUUGUGAUGCCUAUGCAUUGUGAGACACUACCAAAAACGUGAAAAAAACUUCUUGCACCAAGACAUGAACUUGUUUGAUAUUAUGCACUUCUGUAAAUAGACAAUGCAAGUCUCGCGCUGAUUUUAACAUUGGCACCAAAAGUGCACAAAUUUGUUUCCUUCAUGUGUUGAAGCAAUGCAUGUUGAACCAACCAGGUCCCAAGUCAGUUUGAUAAUGCGUGAGACUUGCACAGUCUAUUAUACCCAUGUUUUUCCCCUUAUUAGGAGGGUUUGUGGUUUUCCCCCAUCCCGAUAUCAGCAAUCAAAGGCUAUUUACCAAUUAAGUUUUUAUGGUCUUUAAUUUUUGAAGUAACUACCAAAAGUAACUCCCUUUCAACACAUGCAUAAUCAAUGUGUAGUAAAUUUAAGUAAGAGUAAAUAUUAAAUGUUUUAUACCAUCAACCUCUCCACAUUACUCGUUACCAAGUUAGGUUUUGUGCUAAUAAAUAUUUUGAG